rnacentral:rRNA from 1 species
AACGAACGCUGGCGGCAUGCCUAACACAUGCAAGUCGAACGAGACCUUCGGGUCUAGUGGCGCACGGGUGCGUAACGCGUGGGAACCUGCCCUUAGGUUCGGAAUAACUCCCCGAAAGGGGUGCUAAUACCGGAUAAUGUCUUCGGACCAAAGAUUUAUCGCCUUUGGAUGUGCCCGCGUUGGAUUAGCUAGUUGGUAGGGUAAAAGCCUACCAAGGCGACGAUCCAUAGCUGGUCUGAGAGGAUGAUCAGCCACACUGGGACUGAGACACGGCCCAGACCCCGACGGGGGGCAGAAGUGGGGAAUAUGGGAAAGUGGGGGAAGGCCGGACCCAGCAAGGCCGGGUGAGGGAGGAAGGCCUUAGGGUUGAAAAGCUCUUUUACCCGGGAUGAUAAUGACAGUACCGGGGAAAAAAGCCCCGGCUAACCCCGG